AGCCUAAGGCAUGAACGGCGCCCCCGGGCAGGUGACUCACUCGAGCCCGGCGAAGGCGGAUUUCCAAACGGGCAUCUCGGAGCGGGUCCGGGGGGCGGAAGGGUUCAAGGAAGGUCCCGGCGAGGAUCAAAGUUGCGGCGGGGGAGGGGCGGGUGCGCACGAGGGUCACGGAGGCGCAAACAACAGCGACCCGGGCCGCGUGCCCGCAGGAUCCCCCAAAUCGGCACGCGUGGAGUGCAAGGCUGUGUCUGGAUACUGAAGGAAGGAGUAAAUACACGGCUUCGCUACGACGACGUGCCCGGGAGGGUGGCCCGAAGUUCCCAGAAGGCGCCUCCUGGGAAACGCCGAGGGCGCUCGCGGGGGCACGAGGUCGCGCGCCGGCGGGAACCGGCCGAGGAGAAGCCCCCGGCGCCGAGAGGGGUGUGUCUGGGGCCUGGAGGCCCGCCCGGGACGCGGGACGCCGGGACGCGGGACCCGGGACCCGGGGAAGCGGCCGCCGCCCCCGCCUCCGCCCCCGCCCCCGCCGGCCUCGGGCUGCGCGCCAGGGCCCGCCUCUCGCCGACGCCUCACUUCCCUCCCGUCCGCGCGGCCGCGGCCCCCACGUUGGGGCGCUGGGGCUGGAGGCGCAGCGCCGCCCGCCGCUGCCUCGGGCCCUCCGCUGCGGCCCGCGGCCCCGGGGUCCCUUCCGUCCUGGCCCCGCCGCCCCGCCUACCACCCGCCGCCUUUACCUGCUCCGGGAGCGGGGGGAGGCCGUCGAGGCCGGGGCCGCGUCGUCGAGCGCGCGACGCGGCGCUGCGGAUCCGCAGCCCUUUCCCGCCGCCGCCACUGCGCUCUCCGGCGCGGCGCUGGGCGGGCGGCGGCGGCGGCGGCGGCGGCGGCCGCGCGGGGGGGGGGGGGGGGGGGGGGGGCGGGGGGCGGGGGAGGGAGACGCGCGGCGACGGCCGGGCGGGGACACACUGCCGCUCUCCGUCCGGCCCGGGAAGAGCAGCCUGGCAGCAGCCAGCCGCGGGGGGGCGGGGGGGGCGGGGGGCGGCCGAAUGGGGAGGGGUCUCGGGGAGUAGGAAAUGGCUGCCACGUCGCGCGGCUGGCUCGCCGCCCUCCGCCGCGACCUCCGGUUCAUCCCCGAGCUCCGCCAUGGCGCGUGGCCCGCCCCGCGGGGUGUCUCCGGGACCCGACCGGGCCCGCGGGCGCUCCCGGUGCUCCCUCCGCCCCCCGGCGCCCCCCGUAACCCUGAAGAGCUCGCCCGAACUCCCGCGCUUCCCCUUCCGUGGCGGGGCGGCCCCUGGGAGGAGCAAGCCCGUUUCGACGUGUCCGGCUGGGGGGGCGGGGGGCAGCUGCUCUGAGCCCGUGGACGUGAUCCGGGAGGGGCCCCAAGUAUUUGCCGAAGUAAAGGGCGCGGGAAAGCGCAGCUGCUUCCGGCCCUCUACACGCUCGCGAACCAGAAAACCAAAAACAGAAACACAAGGUCGUACUCGAGAAGCAAAAUAG
rnacentral:lncRNA from 1 species